rnacentral:rRNA from 1 species
GAUGAACGCUAGCGGCAGGCCUAAUACAUGCAAGUCGGACGGGAUCCAUUGAUAGCUUGCUAUCAAUGGUGAGAGUGGCGCACGGGUGCGUAACGCGUGAGCAACCUGCCUCCAUCAGGGGGAUAGCCUCUCGAAAGAGAGAUUAACACCGCAUAAUAUCAACAGUUCGCAUGUUCAGUUGAUUAAAUAUUUAUAGGAUGGAGAUGGGCUCGCGUGACAUUAGCUAGUUGGUAGGGUAACGGCUUACCAAGGCGACGAUGUCUAGGGGCUCUGAGAGGAGAAUCCCCCACACUGGUGCUGAGACACGGACCAGACUCCUACGGGAGGCAGCAGUAAGGAAUAUUGGUCAAUGGGCGGAAGCCUGAACCAGCCAUGCCGCGUGCAGGAUGACUGCCCUAUGGGUUGUAAACUGCUUUUGUCCAGGAAUAAACCUAAAUACGAGUAUUUAGCUGAAUGUACUGGAAGAAUAAGGAUCGGCUAACUCCGUG